UAAGACUGGGAUAAACCUUCGGCGGCUGGCUCCUAAAAGGAUGGUUGCCUGAACCGCAUGGUUCAGACAUAAAAGGUGGCUUCGGCUACCACUUACAGAUGGACCCGCGGCGCAUUAGCUAGUUGGUGAGAUAACGGCUCACCAAGGCGACGAUGCGUAGCCGACCUGAGAGGGUGAUCGCCCACCCUGGGACUGAGACACGGCCCAGACUCCUACGGGAGGCAGCAGUAGGGAAUCUUCCGCAAUGGACGAAAGUCUGACGGUGCAACGCCGCGUGAGUGUUGAAGGUUUUCGGAUCGUAAAGCUCUGUUGUUAGGGAAGAACAAGUGCCGUUCAAAUAGGGCGGCACCUUGACGGUACCUAACCAGAAAGCCACGGCUAACUACGUGCCAGCAGCCGCGGUAAUACGUAGGUGGCAAGCGUUGUCCGGAAUUAUUGGGCGUAAAGGGCUCGCAGGCGGUUUCUUAAGUCUGAUGUGAAAGCCCCCGGCUCAACCGGGGAGGGUCAUUGGAAACUGGGGAACUUGAGUGCAGAAGAGGAGAGUGGAAUUCCACGUGUAGCGGUGAAAUGCGUAGUGAUGUGGAGGAACACCAGUGGCGAAGGCGACUCUCUGGUCUGUAACUGACGCUGAGGAGCGAAAGCGUGGGGAGCGAACAGGAUUAGAUACCCUGGUAGUCCUCGCCGUAAACGAUGAGUGCUAAGUGUUAGGGGGUUUCCGCCCCUUA
rnacentral:rRNA from 1 species